CACGUAGGGCGCAAGCGUUGUCCGGAAUUAUUGGGCGUAAAGAGCUCGUAGGCGGUUUGUCACGUCUGCUGUGAAAACUGGAGGCUCAACCUCCAGCCUGCAGUGGGUACGGGCAGACUAGAGUGCGGUAGGGGAGAUUGGAAUUCCUGGUGUAGCGGUGGAAUGCGCAGAUAUCAGGAGGAACACCGAUGGCGAAAGGCAGAUCUCUGGGCCGUAACUGACGCUGAGGAGCGAAA
rnacentral:rRNA from 1 species